CUCGAAGGACGAACGCUGGCGGCGCGCCUAACACAUGCAAGUCGAACGAGCAAAGAGGAGCUUGCUUCUCUGAGCGAGUGGCGAACGGGUGAGUAACGCGUGAGGAACCUGCCUCAAAGAGGGGGACAACAGUUGGAAACGACUGCUAAUACCGCAUAAGCCCACGGCUCGGCAUCGAGCAGAGGGAAAAGGAGCAAUCCGCUUUGAGAUGGCCUCGCGUCCGAUUAGCUAGUUGGUGAGGUAAUGGCCCACCAAGGCGACGAUCGGUAGCCGGACUGAGAGGUUGAACGGCCACAUUGGGACUGAGACACGGCCCAGACUCCUACGGGAGGCAGCAGUGGGGAAUAUUGCACAAUGGGGGAAACCCUGAUGCAGCGACGCCGCGUGGAGGAAGAAGGUCUUCGGAUUGUAAACUCCUGUUGUUGAGGAAGAUAAUGACGGUACUCAACAAGGAAGUGACGGCUAACUACGUG
rnacentral:rRNA from 1 species